UACGGGGGGGGCAAGCGUUGUUCGGAAUUACUGGGCGUAAAGGGCUCGUAGGCGGCCAACUAAGUCAGACGUGAAAUCCCUCGGCUUAACCGGGGAACUGCCUCUGAUACUGGAUGGCUUGAGAUUGGGAGAGGGAUGCGGAAUUCCAGGUGUAGCGGUGAAAUGCGUAGAUAUCUGGAGGAACACCGAUGGCGAAGGCAAUCCCCUGGGCCUGCACUGACGCUCAUGCACGAAAGCGUGGGGAGCAAACAGG
rnacentral:rRNA from 1 species